AGUCGAGCGGCGCGCGGGACUCGGGCAACUGAGCCCUGGCGGCGAGCGGCGAACGGGUGAGUAACACAUCGGAACGUAUCCCGUAGAGGGGGAUAGCCCGGCGAAAGCCGGAUUAAUACCGCAUAUGCUCUACGGAGGAAAGUGGGGGACCUGCAAGGGCCUUACGCUAUGGGAGCGGCCGAUGUCCGAUUAGCUAGUUGGUGGGGUAAAGGCCUACCAAGGCGACGAUCGGUAGCUGGUCUGAGAGGAUGAUCAGCCACACUGGGACUGAGACACGGCCCAGACUCCUACGGGAGGCAGCAGUGGGGAAUUUUGGACAAUGGGGGCAACCCUGAUCCAGCCAUGCCGCGUGCGGGAAGAAGGCCUUCGGGUUGUAAACCGCUUUUAGUCGGGAAGAAAGGGUUCUCCUGAAUACGGAGGAUUUUUGACGGUACCGGCGGAAUAAGCACCGGCUAACUACGUGCCAGCAGCCGCGGUAAUACGUAGGGUGCGAGCGUUAAUCGGAAUUACUGGGCGUAAAGAGUGCGUAUGCGGUUCUCCUAGUCCGUUGUGAAAGCCCCGGGCUCAACCUGG
rnacentral:rRNA from 1 species